UGGAUGGAUGGAAAGGGAGAAAGGGGAGGGGUGUUUAGGGGGUAGAUAGGGAGGGAGGAAAGGACGGAGGCAGGGGGUGUUUUGGGGCAGAUGGCUGGAUAAUGAGAGAGAUGGAGGGGGUGUUUGGGGGUGGAUGGAUGGUUAGGGAGAGAGGUGUAUGAGGAUGGAUGGAUAGGGGAUGGAUAGAGGAUGGAUGGAUAGAUAGGGGGAUACUUGCAGGGGUUGUACAGGGAUGGAUAGGUUUAUUUUAGAGGACUGUCUGGUCUACCAUCGUUAAGGUUCAGACCAGCUUUCUCUUUAAAGAUUGACUCUCCUAAGUGCCCUAAAGUCCACACAGUUACUUGCAUUGCCUUGAAAUGCGGUGUGCUUCCCGGGGCUGCAGGCUGGGAUUAGUGGGUAGCGGAUAGAUUGAUGGACAGCGGAUUCAUGGAUAGAUGGACAGAACUGAGCAUGGAUGGAGGGAAGGACAAAUAACUGAGGACAGAAGGAUGGACAAAGCUGAAGGUGGAUGGAUGAUGGGAGAGAUGGAUGGAUGGAGUUGAAGACAGGUGGACAGAGCUGAGGAUGGAUGGAUGGAUAGGUGGAGCUGAGGACAGACAGACUGGAUGGAUGGACGGUUGGGUGGACAGAUGGAGAUAAGGACAGAUGAGAGAGCUGAGGAUGAAUCGAUGGACGGACGGAUGAGGCUGUGGACGGGUGGGUGGCUGGACAAAGCUGAGGACAGAUGGAUGGACAGAGCCGGUGGUGGAUGGACGGAAAGUGCUGAGGACAGACGGGUCUCGGGCUGGGUAGAGCAAUCAAGCGAUAGAUGAUAGACAAACUCUGCUGCAGGAAGGCCAGGGGGACGGAUAGACGGACGCAGCCAGCGCCCCAUGACAGCAGCACAGUCCCUGCCCUGUGUCCCUCACGUGGCUUGUUCUGCUCCCUGCAGGUCUCGGGGUUCAGCAGCUGCCCCCCACGGCGAGUGUCCCAGCUGGCAGCAGCGUCACCCUGAGCUGCACCUUCCACAUCCUCAACCAGACCGGGACACAAGUCACCUGGGCCAGGGGCUCCCGGGAGGCCGUCGUGCUGGACCCCGCCCACCCCUUCUACCAGGGGCGGCUGGCCGAGAGCCAGCGGGACCAGCAGGGCCAGGUGGAGGCCAUGGUGACCCUGUCGGAGCUGAUGGAGAGGGACUCGGGUCUUUACCGCUGCUACAUCACCUACCCGCAGGGCGAGCAGGGGAAGGGCACCGGGACCACCCUGACUGUGAUGGGCAGAGCUGUUGCAGAAAUUCCAGCCGGCUGCAAGAGAGCGCUGGUCCCAAAUGUUGGAGCGUCCACCCAGAAACCAGGUGAGUUUGCCACGGAGUUCAGGGUAACGGCUCUUGUUGGGGUGAACAAAUGACUGGAUUUAUCCAGUCUCCAGCAUUGCAGCUCUUCUCUGGGGAUUGAUAGAGCAGUGCGGAUGGAGGGCAGGAGGGAUAGAAAGGGAGGCUGGAUGGCUGAAUUGACAGAUGUGGUAUGACGGGUUGGAUCACAGAAAACCCCCUGGGAACUGCCGACUGAUGUGCUGAGACUACCUCUGAGCCGGUUUUCCCUGGCAGCUCGGGACUUCAGUGCCCUGCCUGGUUCGAGCCAGACAUGCCAGCCUGCUACAACCCAGACCCAGGUCUGAACAACGUCCCCCAGAAGCUGCAGGCUUAACUGAAAACAGCUUAAGAAGUGAUCCUGUCUCCAACGCUCAGAUGCCCAGCUCCCAAUGGGAUCCAAACCCCAAAUAAAUCCAUUUUACCCUUAUACA
ensembl:lncRNA